UCCGGCCAGGGCCAGCCCGGGGCUGGCCAGGAGACCCCAACUCCACCCUGGCCCCCCGCCCCCGGCCCACUCCUGGAGCCGACCGACCAGCCCGGAACUUCUUUUUUUCCCAGAUAUAAACAUACACGCCACCCACAAAACCAGCCAGAGGCUCCUUUGUUCCCCCAGAAUCUUUCUUCGGCCUGUUUGGGGAGUGGGUGCCAACAGUGACUGGUCUGGGCCCUGGCCGGUCAACGGGGACCAUGCCCCUCUACGAGGAGGUCCCCUGGGGACCCUGCCGUGGGCCCCACCACCACCUCAGCCCCAGAAGCUCGCCUGGCCCUGGUGUCUAAAUAUAGCUCAGGCUGACUGAGCUCGAGGUCACACAGACUCCCAAAUGCCCGGGGUGGCCACGCAGAGCGCGGCAAGCGAUGUGCAUUUGUCUGGGUGUCCGACGGCCUCUCAGGAGCCUUUGCUGGUGCCGGGCACCAUGCUGGGCUCUGCCUUCCGGAGCUCAUGGCCCCUCAGAGAGAUGCACGGCUAUGGCACAAGACGCUCACUCCGUGGGCUUCGAGAAAGGCAAGGGGGUCCUGGUGAGACCUCAUGAAGUGGCCCAGUCUCACUUGUAUUUUCCGAGACCGAUUCGAAGAGCCAAGCUCCAUAAGGCCAUGAGUUCUUUUUCCAGCCGCCUCCGAAUCGCACCUCCCAGCUCACUAAGACCCUCCACUGAGCCGCGCAGAACCACCUGUUCCCCGACACCGCUGCACAUCAGCCUCUGUGCUUUUGCCCCUGUUGUUCCUCUGAUGCUUGUCCCUUUCCCCCUCCCUCUGGUGAAACAGCCCCAGCCUCCCAAGCCUGCCUCAGGCUCUUCCGUCCCAGGACCUCAGGCACAAGGAUCGCCCACACUACUGAAGGCUGGGCGUCAGCACCCAGAUUCCUCACUGGGCCCUGAGCUGCUGUAGGGAAGGCCCUGCCUUAGCCCCACCCUCCUGAGAUGGUGCAUCUGGGGCCCAGAUUCAUUUGUAUUUACUCCCCCUAACAUUUUCUUUUGAAAAGUCUAAGCCUACAAGAAACAAUACAAUGGGAAUUCCUGUUGUGGCUCAGUGGUAAUGAACCUGACUAGUAUCCAUGCGGACGUGGGUUCGAUCCCUGGCUUCACUCAGUGGGUUAAGGAUCUGGCAUUGCCGUGAGCUGUGGUGUGGGUUGCAGACAUGGCUCCAAUUUGGCAUCACUGUGGCUGUGGGGUAGGCCAGCAGCUGCAGUUCUGAUUCCAUACCUAGCCUGGGAAUUUCCAUAUGCCACAGGUACAGCCCUAAAAAGACAAAAAAAAAAAAAGAAAAAGAAAAAGAAAAAAGAGACACUACAACAAAUACCCUUAUCCCUUUCACUUAGACCCCCGUCACGGUUUGCAUCCUCCCUCCCUCGCCUGGUCUUGCUGACCCGCGCUGGGGACUGGAAGGUGUGCAAUACCCACUGGAAUGAAAGAAAGAAGGAACGAGUCCAUGCUAUGGCUUCCCUCUCCUUCCUCUGCCCCAGCAAGGAGCUUUGACAGCAAAGCAUCACUCUCUCUCUCUCUUUUUUUUGUCUUUUUGUCUUUUCUAGGGCUGUACCCACAGCAUAUGGAGGUUCCCAGGCUAGGGGUCCAAUCAGAGCUGUAGCCACCAGCCUACGCCAGAGCCACAGCAACUCGGGAACCAAGCCAUGUCUGCGACCUACACCACAGCUCACGGCAACCCCAGAUCCUUCACCCACUGAGCAAGGCCAGGGAUCGAACCAGCAACCUCAUGGUUCCUAGUCAGAUUUGUUAACCACUGAGCCCGACAGGAACUCCGAACAUUGCUCUUUCUAAGAGGCAGACACAGUCACCCACCUGUCUGGAGGCCAGCUGCCCAUGGUCAAUUUAGCCCUUCUGUGAACAUCUGAUACCCCACUCUCCCUUCCAGCCCCUUUGCCCAUUGACCC
rnacentral:lncRNA from 1 species